rnacentral:rRNA from 1 species
CCUACGGGUGGCAGCAGUAGGGAAUAUUGCUCAAUGGGGGAAACCCUGAAGCAGCAACGCCGCGUGGAGGAUGAAGGUUUUCGGAUUGUAAACUCCUUUUGUUAGAGAAGAGAAUGACGGUAUCUAACGAAUAAGCACCGGCUAACUCCGUGCCAGCAGCCGCGGUAAUACGGAGGGUGCAAGCGUUACUCGGAAUCACUGGGCGUAAAGAGCGCGUAGGCGGGAUAGCAAGUCAGAUGUGAAAUCCUAGGGCUUAACCCUAGAACUGCAUUUGAAACUGUUAUUCUAGAGUAUGGGAGAGGUAGGUGGAAUUCUUGGUGUAGGGGUCAAAUCCGUCGAGAUCACGAGGAAUACUCAUUGCGAAGGCGACCUGCUAGAACAUAACUGACGCUGAUGCGC